CGCCUGUUUAUCAAAAACAUCUCUUCUCGUUAGUUUUUGAAGUAUGGCCUGCCCACUGACCUUGAAUGUUGAAGGGCCGCGGUAUUUUGACCGUGCAAAGGUAGCAUAGUCAUUAGUUCUUUAAUUGUGAUCUGGUAUGAAUGGCUUGACGAGGCAUGAGCUGUCUUAAUUUUGAAUUGUUUAUUGAAUUUGGUCUUUGAGUUAAAAUUCUUAGAUGUUUUUAUGGGACGAGAAGACCCUAUAGAGUUUGACAUUUAUUAUGGUCUCUUUCUGUUUGUGAGGGUUCACUAGGGCUGUCUAAUAUGUAUUGUUGGGGUGAUGGGAGGGAUAUUAUUUAACCCCUCCUUUGUGUUGUUAUAUUUAUUUAUAUUUGCUUGAUCCAUUUAUUUUGAUUGUAAGAUUAAAUUACCUUAGGGAUAACAGCGUAA
rnacentral:rRNA from 1 species